UCCCUGGUGGUUCAGUGGCCAAGACACUAUGCUCCCAAUGCAGGGGCCCUGGGUUCAAUCCCUGGUCAGGGAA
rfam:TPA: Bos taurus chromosome 3, whole genome shotgun sequence.